AGAAGGGAAGGGGGGGGGAAGAGAGAGGGAGGGAGCGGGGAGGGGGAGGGGGGAGGGGGGAGGGGAGGGCCCUCAAGUUGAAUAACAACACCUGGAAACGAGAAACCCACCUUGGAGAUGAUUAAGGGUUCUCCGUGCUCCAGGCCACCUUUCAAGAUGUAGAGAUAUGAAAAACUAAAGCAUAAAUUCUCAAUGGAACCACGACGGCAGGACCCGCUGUCUUUUCUCGGGCGUUUUCAGUAGUGCUCAGUCCCGCGGAGAAAGGAGGGAGAAGCAAGUGGGUUAGGCGCCGCGCGCUGGGAAACUGCGGUGCGGAACCAGCUCGCCACAAAGACCUGACAAUCAAAACAGCCUCGCGUAGCGGGUGACAAAGCCGAGAAAGCUGAAAAUGGCACACCGAUUGGCUGAUUACCUACAAAGUAGUUGCUAGAAGAGCACCGCCUCGCUCCAAUUAAAGCAGAAGUUCAGCCAGAGACGGGUCUUUGGUAUUUUUGCAAACUCCAGACGAUCUGCUGCGCCCCUGCGUUUGAAAAGCGGCGCCUGAGCGGUUUGGGGAAACGUGUGAAGAAAGGUCAAGGUGGUGGCCCAACGGCUGUGUUGACUUUAGCAGAAAAAAAAUGGGGCCUAGAAUAGAAAAGCAGCCGCUCACCUGGACGUGGGACUGCCUAGCCACAUUUCUCAGUGCAAAACCAAGGAAUCUGACUGUCACCAUCCUGAUGAGAGACCCCACAGCACAGCUGCGCCUGGGGACUCAGAACAUUAUCAGCCCUGCCAUUGAGAGCAGCCUCUGCUCUCUGGCAACUAUUGCCUUGUUCUUGGCAGGGAGCCCAGACCGCUCUCACUGAGCCUUCUCCUCCCUAUGACCCUACAAAAGACCCCAGGCCUGGACAGAGCUGCUGAUCUGGUCUCUAGGGGUAGAGCAGUCCCUCCCAGGUUUGUUCUGAAAUAAACCUGUCCUGUUGAGCUCGCACCUCUGUCUCUCCUUUUCUUUUUUCCUAACAGUGCUUAUAUUUAAUGAAAAGUUGAU
rnacentral:lncRNA from 1 species